rnacentral:rRNA from 1 species
GACGAACGCUGGCGGCGUGCUUAACACAUGCAAGUCGAACGGAAAGGCCCUGCUUUUGUGGGGUGCUCGAGUGGCGAACGGGUGAGUAACACGUGAGUCACCUGCCCUUGACUUUGGGAUAACUUCAGGAAACUGGGGCUAAUACCUGAUAGGAGCUCCUGCUGCAUGGUGGGGGUUGGAAAGUUUCGGCGGUUGGGGAUGGACUCGCGGCUUAUUAGCUUGUUGGUGGGGUAGUGGCUUACCCAGGCAUUGACGGGUAGCCGGCCUGAGAGGGUGGACGGGCACAUUGGGACUGAGAUACGGACCAGACUCCUACGGGAGGCAGCAGGGGGGAAUAUUGCACAAUGGGCGGAAGCCUGAUGCAGCAACGCCGCGUGCGGGAUGACGGCCUUCGGGUUGUAAACCGCUGUCGCCUGUGACGAAGCGUGAGUGACGGUAAUGGGUAAAGAAGCACCGGCUAACUACGUG